rnacentral:rRNA from 1 species
UAACCUACCUAUAAGACUGGGAGUAACUUCGGGAAACCGGAAGCUAAUACCGGAUAAUAUAUUGAACCGCAUGGUUCAAUAGUGAAAGACGGUUUUGCUGUCACUUAUAGAUGGAUCCGCGCUGCAUUAGCUAGUUGGUAAGGUAACGGCUUACCAAGGCAACGAUGCGUAGCCGACCUGAGAGGGUGAUCGGCCACACUGGAACUGAGACACGGUCCAGACUCCUACGGGAGGCAGCAGCC